rnacentral:lncRNA from 1 species
AUUUGGCCCACAGCCGCCAACCAAAACUACUCCUGCUGCCACAUCUUCCUGCCCUCUUUGCACAAAAAUGAAUUAUAUUUGAGGAAAUUUCCGUACAGUUUUAUGUUUUGAUACAACGUGGAAGAGGCAUAUGUCGAGUUUGUGCGUGAAUCUAAUGUUUAAACACACACCUAGGUUUUGAGGGAUUUGGCAGUUAAUUAACACCAAAUCCCCCUUUCUGAAGUGUUGUCUUUGUAUGUUAGAUUCACGCACAAACUCGUAAUAUGUCUUUUCGUUUAAUCUAGUUAGAUUUUACCACCUCCAGUGCAGAAUUCUCAGAGAUCGGGGCUUUUUUAUACUGUUUUUUUCCAUACCUUUUUUAUUAUAUUUUUCUUACUCUGUUACGAUUUCAGUUUUGAAUUGAUUUUGGAUGGAAUCCUUUGAUUGAACAGUCUGGAGAAAGGAAUAAGAUUUUAAGAGAUUAACUAUUACUCAAUUAAAAACUACAGCUUGUGAUUGUUAAAUUUUCAAGUUUUACCUGCGAACAAGUAUGACGCAUAAGAGCGUAAUUAUUGGCUGCUGCUGCUGCUGCUGCUUCUUCCUUUUUUUUUUUUUUAAUAUCAUUUGCUUCUUGUGUCCUGUAUCAAUUAUCAUCUUGUCUCUUGCUUAAUAACUCCUGAGGUCUAAAAUUAUGAGAUUGUUAAUUAUGAUGUAUGCCUUACUAUUUUUCAAGAUAUUGGAAAAUUACUCAAGGUGGUGUUUUUAGAAAUAAAUUUAUGCCCUAGAAUAAGCAUGUAACUAUGGUUUGGUAUAAUUCAGAUAGGCAGUGUAAGACGCUGGAUGGAAGUAUUCUAGAUAUUUAUUAGCAAUACUGGUAGUGUUAUCAUCUUGUACAACUUCUUGAUCUGUAUCACGAUUUGUGAUGGUUUGUCAAUCACUGUGGUUUGAUUUUUUUAACUCUUCUGAUUUGGUGGUCGUUUUUCUUUCCAAUCCAAGUAGCUUCAUUGGCAGUUUGUUUGCCUAGUCAAUGCUUAGAGGAUCAAAAGAUCUGUCUUUGUUUACUACUUGUAAAUAUUAUUUUUUCCUAAUUUGAAUUUGGUCUGAUGGCUUAAUUCGUGCUUUUGAGGCUUCUCUAACUGUGAGGUCUGGAAAGGAUUAAUCCGAUUUGGUAAAUUUUGUAUUAUUCUUAUGCGGUUAAAUCUUAGCUUAUAUCACUUCAUCGUCCCAAGUGACAAGUAGAAUUACAUCUUCAUUGGAAAGGAUUAUCUGAAUAAGUUCAUAAAUUCUUAUAAUAUUUUAUAGUUAGCUUGUAUACUUCAAUCUAUUAUGCAAUUAUAUUGAAAUAGAAAAUAAAGUGAAUCGUAUUGUAUUCAUCUUCAAUGCAUCCCAGAGUGACUUAUUUUGCACCUAUUGGUUUUUUCCUUCUCCUCUCUGAUUUCUUGCUUCUGUUUGAGCUAACUAGCAGUUAUAGAAUAUUAUAGAAUGGUGCAAAGUGAAGGAAAAGAAUGAGUAAACCCUUUCGCAUUUCAAAUUCAUUAAUGUUUCUGUUUAUUUUAUUGAAACCAAACAUUACAGAGUGGAUAGUUGCAGGAAUAGAAACACGUGUCCAUGUUUUCAUAGAUUCUAAACUACUUGGAUGUUAUUUGCUCAUGGAAGCAUAUCUGAUGAUAUGAGAUUAAUCCAAAGACUUUCUGUAUAGUAAAUGAACAUUAGAAAUGUUGCAUUAAAUUUUAUUUCUACUCAUUAACUUCAUGUUCUCCACACGCACGCAGGAAACUGCUUUCUCUGUCAGAAGUUACUGAUAUAUGCUGCACUGUUAUUUUCUUUACUGGAAAACCAAAUUUAGUUAAAUUUUUAGAUUAUUUUAGAAGCCUGAAUGUUUUAUUUCAGCAGUUAGGAACUGGAGAAGGUUUCCAUUAUUUUAAAAUGCCAAUUUGGAAGCUAUAGCCUAUAAGGAACCUAUAUUUGUAUAUGAUGUAGGCUCUUUCCUUAGAAUCGAGCUACAGUUACAAAAAAAUUGACUGAAUUUUUACAGAAUUACACUUGUCAAGAUUUCAUUUGCAGUUGGGAAAAAAAUCUGCAGAAAACUGCCAAUCAAGUGCUGUCAACUCAACACCUGUAAAAAUUCUGUAAACAGUAAUCCUGUAAGUACGGCUUUUUCCCUUAUUCAAAUUUUAAGCUAGAUGACAAAUGAAGAAAUUUGAUUAUACGCACAAGUGCUACUUCUUAUGGAAAUGAUGAUCUGAGUCAGGUAAGUUCCCAUAAUUUUGUUAUAUUGCAUGUUUUGCUUGUAUAUUUUAUUUACAAUAGAAUGAGUAAUGUUAUUCAUAGUGAAAGCUAUCGGUAGUCGUUUUGCACAUGUGUAUGCCACAUAGAACGAAUGUGGAUAAUCUUCAUUAUGAAUGGCAUUAUUCCAAUAAAAUUGAUCUCCUAUCCUUAGGGGACUGGAUAGAAACUUCCCACUACUUUGGCCAAAGGUAUUGGACUAAAUUUGUAAUUUACCUUUACGAAAAAAAUUAAUAAUAUAUAUAGCGGGUAGAUGCAGGAUUUUUAAGUUCAGAGGGCUUAAAAAAUUUCUGUUAGAG